GGGCCCAUAGCUCAGCUGGUAGAGCUCCCGGCUCAUAACCGGGCGGUCAUAGGUUCGACUCCUGUUGGGCCCA
rnacentral:tRNA from 1 species